GGUGAAACGGUGCGGUAAGAGCGCACCAGCGCUCCGGGCGACCGGAGCGGCUAGGCAAACCCCACCCGGAGCAAGAUCGAGCAGGGAGAGGGCGGCCCGCCCGCAGACACUCCCGGGUAGAUCGCAAAGAUGGAUGGUCAUCCAAGGAGAUCCCGGCAACGGGCUCCCGGACAGAAUCCCGCCUACAGGCCGGCUCCCCGC
rnacentral:RNase_P_RNA from 1 species